GAUGAAGAACGUAGUGAAAUGCGAUAACUAGUGUGAAUUGCAGAAUUCCGUGAAUCAUCGAGUCUUUGAACGCACAUUGCGCCCCCUGGUAUUCCGGGGGGCAUGCCUGUCCGAGCGUCAUUGCUGCCCAUCAAGCACGGCUUGUGUGUUGGGUCGUCGUCCCCUCUCCGGGGGGGACGGGCCCCAAAGGCAGCGGCGGCACCGCGUCCGAUCCUCGAGCGUAUGGGGCUUUGUCACCCGCUCUGUAGGCCCGGCCGGCGCUUGCCGAACGCAAAUCAAUCUUUUUCCAGGUUGACCUCGGAUCAGGUAGGGAUACCCGCUGAACUUAAGCAUAUCAAUAAGUGGAGGA
rnacentral:misc_RNA from 1 species